rnacentral:rRNA from 1 species
UACGUAGGGUGCAAGCGUUGUCCGGACUUAUUGGGCGUAAAGAGCGUGUAGGCGGCCCGGUUAGUCCGCUGUGAAAGUCCAGGGCUCAACCCUGGAAUGCCGGUGGAUACUGUCGGGCUAGAGUCCGGAAGGGGCGAGUGGAAUUCCUGGUGUAGCGGUGAAAUGCGCAGAUAUCAGGAGGAACACCAAUGGCGAAGGCAGCUCGCUGGGACGUGACUGACGCUGAGACGCGAAAGCGUGGGGAGCAAACAGG